rnacentral:rRNA from 1 species
AUUGAACGCUGGCGGCAGGCCUAACACAUGCAAGUCGAGCGGAUGAAGGGAGCUUGCUUCUGGAUUCAGCGGCGGACGGGUGAGUAAUUCCUAGGAAUCUGCCUGGUAGUGGGGGAUAACGUCCGGAAACGGGCGCUAAUACCGCAUACGUUCUGAGGGAGAAAGUGGGGGAUCUUCGGACCUCACGCUAUCAGAUGAGCCCAGGUCGGAUUAGCUAGUUGGUGGGGUAAAGGCCGACCAAGGCGACGAUCCGUAACUGGUCUGAUAGGAGGAUCAGUCACACUGGAACGGAGACACGGUCCAGAUUCCUCCGGGAGGAGCAGGAGGGGAAUAUUGGACAAUGGGGGAAAGCCGACUGCAGACCUGCCGGGUGUGUGAAGAAGUUCUUCGGAUUGUAAAGUCCGUUAAGAUGGGAGGAAGGGCAGUAAGUUAGUAACUUGCUGUUUUGACGUUACCAACAGAAAAAGCAACGGCUAACUUCGUG